AGAGACGACGCUAGCGGGCGGGCUUAACACAUGCAAGUCGAGCGGAGAGCUUCGGCUCUCAGCGGCGAACGGGUGAGUAACACGUAGGUCACGUACCCUUUGAGUGGGGAAUAACCGUAGGGAAACCGUGGGCUAAUACCGCAUAUGUCCGUUCGGGAUGAAAGCCUUCGGGCGUCAGAGGAUCGGCCUGCGGCCCAUUAUUUAAUCCUAGUUGGUAGGGUAAUGGCCUACCAAGGGUACGAUGGGUAGCUGGUCUGAGAGGAUGAUCAGCCACACUGGAACUGAGACACGGUUCAGACUCCUACGGGAGGCAGCAGUGGGGAAUAUUGGACAAUGGGCGAAAGCCUGAUCCAGCCACGCCGCGUGGGUGAUGAAGGCCUUCGGGUUGUAAAGCCCUGUCGGGAGGGACGAAUCAAUGACGGUACCUCCCAAGAAAGCACCGGCUAACUCCGUG
rnacentral:rRNA from 1 species